GACGAACGCUGGCGGCGUGCUUAACACAUGCAAGUCGAACGGAAAGGCCCUGCUUUUGUGGGGUGCUCGAGUGGCGAACGGGUGAGUAACACGUGAGUAACCUGCCCUUGACUUUGGGAUAACUUCAGGAAACUGGGGCUAAUACCGGAUAGGAGCUCCUGCUGCAUGGUGGGGGUUGGAAAGUUUCGGCGGUUGGGGAUGGACUCGCGGCCUAUCAGCUUGUUGGUGGGGUAGUGGCUUACCAAGGCUUUGACGGGUAGCCGGCCUGGGAGGGUGACCGGCCACAUUGGGACUGAGAUACGGCCCAGACUCCUACGGGAGGCAGCAGUGGGGAAUAUUGCACAAGGGGCGGAAGCCUGAUGCAGCAACGCCGCGUGCGGGAUGACGGCCUUCGGGUUGUAAACCGCUUUCGCCUGUGACGAAGCGUGAGUGACGGUAAUGGGUAAAGAAGCACCGGCUAACUACGUG
rnacentral:rRNA from 1 species